CCUACGGGCGGCAGCAGUGGGGAAUAUUGGACAAUGGGGGCAACCCUGAUCCAGCCAUGCCGCGUGUGUGAAGAAGGCCCUCGGGUUGUAAAGCACUUUCAGUGAGGAAGAACGCCUGGUGGUUAAUACCCAUCAGGAAAGGCAUCACUCACAGAAGAAGCACCGGCUAACUCCGUGCCAGCAGCCGCGGUAAUACGGAGGGUGCGAGCGUUAAUCGGAAUUACUGGGCGUAAAGCGCGCGUAGGUGGCUUGAUAAGCCGGUUGUGAAAGCCCCGGGCUCAACCUGGGAACGGCAUCCGGAACUGUCAAGCUAGAGUGCAGGAGAGGAAGGUAGAAUUCCCGGUGUAGCGGUGAAAUGCGUAGAGAUCGGGAGGAAUACCAGUGGCGAAGGCGGCCUUCUGGACUGACACUGACACUGAGGUGCGAAAGCGUGGGUAGCAAACAGGAUUAGAUACCCUUGUAGUC
rnacentral:rRNA from 1 species